UUUUUUCCAGAAUGCUCAAAGGAAAAUAUUUUCUUCUCAAUGACCUUGUCAGUUGGGUAGGACAAAUAUUAUUUUGAUCUUUAUUCUCUAGAUCAGGAAACUGAUAGUCAUCAUGUGAUUUGCUCAAGGUCAACCAUCUAGAAAAUGUCAGAACCAACUGAAACCUGAUCUCCUGAUGCCAAACUUUUCUAUUAUAUUAGGAAUUCCUUCCACAUUUAGAGCAAUGUAUGGAUUCAACCAGAAGUUUAAAAAAAACAACCAUGAUAUCCUCUAUAACCAAUACCCAAAAGGAAGAAACUGGAGUAAAUAUAAGAUGAAAACUAUCCUUCCUUGAACAGAUUCAGAAAAACUUGGGAGGACUUUUUUGAACUGCUACAGAGCAAAAUAAGCAAAACCAGGAGAACAAUUUCUAUCAUAACAACAAUAUUGUUUUUAAAAUGACAUGAAAAACAAUGACACAGAUCAUUUCCAUGACCACAACUCCAGAGACUUGGUGAUGAAACAUAUUUACUCAGUGAGAAAGCACUGAUGGACUAAAAAAGCAGAAUAAGACAUACAUUUUUAGUGUGACCUUGUUUUGCUUGAUGCUAUUUAUUUGUCAUAAGGAUUGUGCUUUCCUUUUCUUUCUUUCUCUUUCUUUUUUUUUUUUUGUUUAGGGUGGGUCUGAGAGUUAGAAAUAAUGUUGUCUCAAAAAAAAUAAUGUUGUCUCUUCCCUCAAAAUGGGAGAAGAAAGAAAAAAGUGAUUGAAACAGUUUUUAAAAUGUACAGAAAGAAGUCCAGAUAGAAUCACAAUCAGGACAGCUUUGAAAGUUACAUGUUGAAUAUUUAAAACUAGCUGAACAUAAUAGAGAUGAAUGAUUGCACACAUAAUCCUCUUUUUCUAUUCUGCUUUGAAUAUGAAAAUGUUCAGGGGAAGGGGCAGUAUUUGUUAGAGUUUAAAAAAAAUUUUUAAAGGAAACAUCCUUGUGAUGUCUUGUCUAUAAGAACCAGCCAGGUGGCUAUGGGUUUAGUUUCCAAUCUUCUCUACAAAAAUGGUCAAGAUGACCCAUAAGCAGUAUACUUACAAAUCUGAAAACAAUACAAGGACCUUAAAAUAAGGGCCAAAUUGAACUAGUGUCUGGUCUCUGUUUUUGUCUUGACCUCUCCUUUUUUCUCUGCUUUUAUGCAUGCCUGAAUUGACCUUUAUCUUAUCCUCUCCUUGAUGUUUCUCCUUCAUUUCCCUUGUGCCACCUCCUCUGUGAAGCUCCUCUUGUCUACUUACUUCCCUUCUCAAAUUCUUCAUAGCACUUCAUCUAGAUUUCUCCUAUGCCCUUAUCUUCUCUCCCUUAAAUUAUAGUUAAUAGAUUGUAGACUCCUAAAACCUGUGGUUCAAAACCUCAAAUACUAGUUUUAUAUAAGCUAACUUCAAUGUUAUGGACCUCUCAUUAGCCAUUCCUUGACUUAUUCUAGGCUCCUGGGGGCAUCUGAAUUUAGCUUGUGUUUAGGUGUCCUCAGAUAUAGGUAAAAGAAUCUUAGCUCUUAUGCAAGUUUUCAAGCUAAUAAUAUAUAGAGGACAGAGGAUAGACUUUAUUUUUCCUUACAGAAGAUAUAAAACAUAAAGAACUCAUGCUUGAGCUCAUAAAUAGUCAAGAUAAUUCUCCUCACUGCAGUAAGCUAGAUCUCUUAUAUCUCCCUUUGUAGCUCCAAUAUAGAGUACAGUGCCUUACAUAGAGCAGGUAUUUAAUACUGUAACUGAAGGAACGAAGGAUGAUAAAUGCCUUUUUAAAGACAUGGAAAUUGGGGGGGGGUACGUGUGUGUAGAGGGAGGCCAUAUUUCUCAGCUGAGAGACCUACAGUGGGUUUCUAAGUGAGUUAGCAUCAGCUCCUUCCCUUGAAUUGCUGGGUCAGGAUAUUUGUCAUUUUGCAGCAAUGGAAAAUGCACACAGGGAUUGAAAUGCCCAGUUCAUGCAACAUUGCUCAAAGGAUUUGAGGAUUCCAUUUUGGCACAAAUCCUUUAAUUAAAGUGAAUUCCUUCAGGCCUGGUACACCCAGACUCAAUCUGCAAUGUCCCCAUUGACCUGGGAAAGGCUGAUUAACUGACAAGUUGGCAGUGGAACUACUUCUUCAAAGAUUCUAUGAUAUCUUUGGUAAGACAAACAUGCCCCAGGAUACCAUAUGGCCAUAUUUUUGUGGUAACUUUUCAGAUUCCUCUGCAAAUGUCUCCUGAGGCUAAGGACGAUCUGCUGCUUUCAAUUCAGCAGUUGUUACCAUUGGUCACCUUUCCUCUUCAAGGCAAAGAACCCUUCAGCAAGGAGGUAUUUGGGCAAGCUCAAGAGGGUAAUUGGGCAGGAAAAGUACCAAUCUCCAUCAAGCCUCAAGGCAGCCCAAGGAACUGGAUAUCAGAGAAAUCAGGGUUUUGAAAAAUGGUUCCAAGUUGUCUUUAUGCGGAGUCAACAAUUGGCAAUUCUAUCAAUGAUGUACAUAGGUCUAGUUAGGUUCCACUUAUCAGAAGAAGGAGCUCAAAAAAAAAACACACACACACACACAAAGAAGAAGACAGGCACAUUCUGGAAUAAGGAAAAUAGGGCUGGAAUUAGAUUACUCACAUUCUAUCUGUGGUUAUACUAUUAGCUAGAUUUAGGAAAGUCACUGAAUGUCUUUGAAUUUCAUUUUCCUCAUCUGUAAAGUGGGAAUAAGCCCUACCCUGCAUAGUUCAUAGGAUUGUUGAGAGGGCCAAAUGGAAUGACUCUUAAUUUUUCUUUCCUAGCUCAGAAAAUCUUAGAUAAUAGAUGAGGUAACCCAAUGCAUAAAUCUUUUCAUCUUUUGCUGCUUAAAUAAAACUUUUUUUUAAAUGUUUAAUGACCUGAUCUGAAUAAAUGAAGGGGAAUUGAGGGUCCUUUUUGGAAAACAAAAUAAGCCAAGUACUGAUAUCCCCAGGAUUUGUCUGGUUCUGGAUAUAAGCCAGAGAAAUUUAUAUGAAUGAGCCCAAAAAUUGUAUCCAAGGUUUUGUGUCAGGAUGCUUCAAUGGUAGAAUUAAAUUAAUGCUUUAAAGAUCCAUGUGGGAACUUUUUCCUUUUACAUAGAUCCCAAUCCUCUCUUAGUAGAUAGUCUUGAUAAUUUGCUACUGCUAAAAAAAAUAUUACCCUGUAGCCAACCUGGUGAUGAGCCUUUCCAAAGUCAGCUUGACUGGAUAUGGAACAAUAGGCAGCCUGUACUUUCUGGUGGUAUGUCCUGACUUCUUGAAGUCUCAGUUUGAGCCUUCGUUUAUUACAAAAAAUGGAGCUCAUGAUAAGAAUUCAGUCUUUUCUCCAGGGCUAGGACCUGUCAGAGCUUAUACUCAUCUGCCCUAGCUUUGGUCUUCUCCAUAGCCCCUGAAGAAGACUUUGGGGAAGGGGAUGUUAUAACAUUAUAUAGAAUUGUUAAAUGCCUCAUGCAAAUUUUAGAAAAAGAAAAAAGGAAAGGAAAAGAAUAAGAAAAUUAGAGAAGAGAAUAGAGGGAAAGAAGAUAGGAAGGAAAUGUUUUUCUUUCCUUUGCAGGAGGGAUGAUUACCAAUGCCUACCUGAGGGUUCAUGGCACAGGUCUUUUAUUUGCUAUGAUUAUUUUCACAUUGUUCCCAAUUUUUAGAAAAUCUCAAUAUCUACCUAUUUAUUCCUUCCUGUUCUUGAAAGUCUCCUCCAGGAUGACCUCCCUGAUCCUGAUCUCAACAUUUUGUAAUAACCCUGCUGCUCUGACCCCAUAUGUUACUUUGUUUCUACCUCUCUUAUUUAUUUGAAUGAAUGAAUGAAAAUAUGUUAAGUUCAUACUAUUGGUGAAAUAUAGGUCAUGCAGUAGAUAGAGUGCCAGUCCUGGAGUUGCUACACAGCCAAAUGAAUGCCUCACAAAAUUACUUUUACGGUUUUCCAAGUAUGUGUGAAGUAUUCAGAGAGGCAACUGAAACAUUGCUUUCCUGUGCAGUGAAAACUGAGGAAGAGGGAUUGAAUGGAGGCCUUUUUAAUGCUGUUUGCUUCCCAGGUGACAUUGCUUUGGUAAGAUGCUGAGCAGGUAUGCCUGCAGCUUUCAGAAAAAAUUAGAAGGUUAAGAAAAUGGGGAAGGAUAUGGAGUCAGUCCAGAUUUUUAGAAAUGCUUUUCAGAGACACACUUGCCAUUAUCACUGAGAGCAAUUGUUUGGUGAACCUAGGGUUUUAGAAAAAGAAGACCCCUUAGACAUCAUUUAGUAGCAUCAAACUUAAAUAGAAAUGCAUCCCUGCAGACCACAUAUUGACUUUGAAAACAUCAAAUUUACAUCAUAUAUAUUGUAUUGUGUUUUUAUUUACAUUUCCCAAUUAAUUUUAAUAUGGGGUCCUUCCUAGGGGGCAGCUUUACUACCUCUACUUCCCAAUUAGCGAGGGAAGAGAAGAAGUAACUUGUCAAGAUCAGAUGGAUUGAAAAGGUGAGAUUCAAGAGUCAAACUCAGGACCCCGUGUUCUACACCUCACAGGAGCUGCUUAGACCUCAGCUCUAAGAAAACCACAAUAAAACAAAACAAAAAAAUCCAACCAAAUCCUGGGGCAACAGAACCAAUAGAAGACAAGGGUCAGCAGUGCUCCUUCCCAGAAUGGAAUGAAGGGACAACAAGGAUGGGCCACAUCUCAACAAGGUGGAAGUCGGAACUUGGUCCAGAGGUGGAAAAAGAAAACUAUUCAACCAUGACAAAAAUAUUCAACCCCCAACCUCAAGCAAGCAACCCUCCCUGGCUCCAAUUCAGUGAGGCUGACUCAAGUUCCAGCUGUUUCAUGGCCAUUCCUACCUUAGCAGCCAGCUGUUUUCAGCAGGUUAAAAGCAGUGCCAGCAUCAUCCCAGAGAAUCAAAGCAUCACAUUUGACAACAGUAAAAGAAAUAGAGUUAACUCCUCACAUCCCUCACAUUGUUCUCUUGGAUCCCAGGACUCCUCACUGGGCUGAAUAGCUCUGGUUUGCCUAGAACCAGAGGAGACAGAAAGCAGAACACUGUGAUUCUUAAUCCUCUCUUACUGGUUCACUGUGUAAGCUUUUUAAGCUUCAUUCAAGGCCUCCGUGACCUCAUCUGUUACCUGAGAUCAAACACCUGAUGAAAAUUACACCUCUGAAGCACUCAGAGCCUAAUUGGCCAGUCCCCCAGAAAAAUCUGGUUCUCACAGUUACCUUUCAAGUAAUUGAUGGAAGAUACUGAAUUCUAUUGCUGGUGGAAAGGAAAGGCUCAGAAGUAAUUCUCUAAAGAGACUAGCUCCCCAAACGAACAGGGUGUGAGUUAAUGUCAACAGUAAUUUUCUCGAUUACUCUGCAGAAUGCAGGGCAGAGACUCUCUUUCUAAGAGACACGGAGGCAUUCUUUCAAGAGGCCAGAGAAAAAUUGGAUUUUCUUAAAGAAUGUUCAUGGCUACUUUCAGAUGAGAUUUUUUCAGAUCUUCUCUAGCAAAUCUCCUAGCAGAAUUAUUAAUAUUCCCUCCCGCUGACAGAAAUUUGAUAAUCCUCAAAUAAAAACACCCAAAUCAUAGACGACUGCACACACACACACACACACACAAACACUGUAUGGCCUCAUAAUCCUCAGUCUUAAUAAAAUCUGCUGGCUUUUGGAAUAAAACCUGCAAGUGACAAAUAGAUCAUGGGAAAGCAUCAAGAAGCUGCAGAUAGAAUUUGUCUGUGACCAAACAAGGGAAGUAGAAAUUCAAAUAAGCCACAGAAUUCAUCUCUUCAUUCCCUUGUGAUGAGAUUUUCAAAUUGGGAAGUAAGGAGGGAUUCCUCUUCUCAGCACCACAUGACUCUUAAAUGUUUCUCCUUCUUGCUCUCUCAAUGUUUUUCCUUCCUGUUCUCACACAAGUACUUCUUCCUUUGUUAAUAUAAAUAAAAAUACAUUCAUGUAAUCACUCAGAAUUACAAAGCACUUUAACCAUGUUAUCUAGAUGAGGCAGCUGAAGAAGCAAGUAGGUGGAAUAGUAGAAAGAAUGCUGAACUACGCAUCAGGAAGACCUGGGUUCAUGUCCUGCAUUUAUUAAGCACUAUGUGCCAGGAAUUGUGUUAAAUAUUUUACACUAUUGCAUUCGAUCCUCAAAAUAACCCUGAAGGUAGGUGAUAUUAUUAUCCUAUUUUACUAUUGAGGAAACUGAGGCAGAUAAGACAUCUAGCUGGGAAGUUAAUGAGGCCAAAUUUAAAUUCAGAUUUCCCUAACUCCAGCCCUAGAAUUCUACCCACUGCACCACCUAUCAGUUUUGUACAAUGCAUUGUAUUCAUUUUGUGUAUAUUCUGAAAAUACUUAUAUGUGUAUGUAUUGUAUCCUCCAUUAGAAUGAAAGAUCCUUGAGGACAUGGACUAUUUCACUUUUGUCUUCUUAUCCCCAGCACCCAACACAGUGCUUGGCACACAGUAUUCUAUUAAUACAUGCUUGUUGAUUGACUGAAAACUGUCUCUCAAAAACCCAGUUGUUAACUGGGACCAAAACUCCUCAGUUGUUUCAUUUCUCUAUGGUAUGAUAGAAAGAAGGGUGUAUUUGAAACCAAAGGACUUGGAUUGCCAUCUUGGCUUUGCCACCUAUAAAAAAAUCACUGAAAAUUUAAAUUUAAAUUAAAAAAAAAUUUCAAUCAACAACAAUCUGCCUUCUCUCUGUUCCACCUCUUCUCAGUCCACCCUCACAAAUAGAUCAUGGGAAAGCGUCAAGGAACUGCAAAUAGAAUUUGGCUGCAACCAAACAAGAGAAGUAUACAUUUAUAUAUACACACACAUAUAUAGGUUUCAGACAGAGAUAAGUGACUUGCCCACAGUCACAUAAUUAAUAAGUGGCUAAGAUGGGAUUUGAACUCAGGUCUUCUUGACUCUAAGCCCAGCACUCUAUCCACUGUGCUACCUAGUUAUCCCAAGGCAAGCAGAAAUCCAAAUAAGCUGCAGAAUUCAUUUCCUCAUUCCCUUCGUGACAAGAGACCCAUCCUCACCACACUGCAAAAGUAAGAAAAAUAAAACUCUUGUUACUAUGUUCUUCAUGUUAUGGUCAAGCAAAAGAAAUUCUUACAAUGGCCAUGCCCAAAAAAAUGCAUCUCAUUUUGCAAUCUUAUCUCAUCACCCCUCCUUUAGGAAAUAGGCACCGGUCCUUUCUAACUGGGUGACCUCAUGAGAGUUUAUUUUUCCCUUUGGCCCCCAGUUUCUUCAUCUGUGAAAUGGGGGGAUUAGAGUAAAUAGUCUCAGAGAUCCCUCUUAGCUCUAAAAUCUUUGACUUUCCUAACCCAAGGGUGUGAACUGUCUAACUGGGAUCUUAUCUCUAUAAAAUCCCAAAAGAAGAUUCACAAUUUCCCACAAAGUAAAUCUAAUUUUGUUUCUGCAGAGCUAACAGCAAUAGUUACUUGGGGCAUUAAUUGUGAACAUUAAACUUCAAUUUGGCAAAUACGUGUUGAGAAAUACUUCUGUAGGAGAUACUGAAAAAAAUAAAAUGAUGGUCUUGUCUUCAUGGAGUUUAUAAUCUUGCAAAAGAAGGCUGCAGUAGAUUUAUGCAAUACCUUUCUUAAAGGCGCAUAACAUAAUUUACAAUUUGACUUUUAAAUUUCAUAAUAUUCCUUUCAAGUAGUUAGGAAUUUGAUAUUAUUAUUUCUAUUUCAGAAAUGGGCAGACUGGGACAGAGCAGUUAAGUAACUCAAUUAAAAUCAAAAUAAUUCAGCAAUGAGC